GUAACGGGAAGGAAGUCAGUGUCGGUGACUCUGCUAAGCUAGCGGCGUCACGUUACGUGCGUAUGACGUCAUGCGCCGUCGAUUAGGAAGCGGCUUAUACUUCCGGUUAGGAAAAAACCCGCCCGUGUUCUAUUUGAGAUGAUAUAGCUUUCUAAAAUUCAUACACUAGACGGUGGUGCAGAGUGCAGAGUGGUCACAGCUGAUCUGGAGCCUAUCCCUCAGGGCACAGUGCAGGGGACACCCUGGACAGGGUGCCAACCCAACGUAGGGCACACAAUCCCACACACAUUCACACACUACGGACAAUUUGGAAAGCCUACACAGGUUUCCACACAGAUCUAGCUGAUUGCUUGAUUGGUCCCGCUUGGCAGGAAAAUGGCCUGUUGAAGUGUGUGAGAAGCAGGUGCAGGACUUGGCCCCAGCAGCCCCAGCCUGUGGCCACGGCACGGAAUAAUAGCAGCAGUGUUUCUACACAGUGGAGCGCUGUCACAACCAGCCACUUGCAAAAAUACGACACGUUUUUCAUAGACGUGUGCGCCGGGAAGGAGAAGCUCAAAGAUGAGAACGGGUUUCCUUUUGAGUCUGGUUCCUCUCAAGGUUUCUCCCUCAUGCUGUCUCAUGGAGUGUUUGCUUGCCACUGUCACCUCUGGUACUUCAAAAAUCAUGCAUAGAUAGCAGCCAUAAGAACAGGACAAAACUGUGACAAAUGGCUUUGAAAAGCAGUUCUGACACAGUUGGGAAAGCCCUAAAACCUCCAAGCUAUAAAGGCCUAUAGCCAGCUGGAAACGUCGACCCUAAAGGUGCAGAACGUCUCCGCUCCUAACGCAAAGCAGUAGUUCCACAGUGGAUUCUGGACUGCCAUAUGGACCGACGUAGCAUUUUUACCACCCCAUGACUACGAUCAGAAGAGGGAGCAAAUUACAUGCCUUAUCUGAUGUGGAAGGGACUGCCGGUCAACUUGAAGGACACCGAGCAGCUGUUUGUGUGCUUUGGGGAGUACCAUAAGCCGGCUUCGCUGUCUAAGGACUGGUUAGGCCACUGCCUAAAGGACGUGAUUACACAGGCAUACUCACAUUACCAAAAGGCCAGGUCCUCUGAGGAGUGCUAUGAGGAGAGCAGAAACACAUUUGAAAUAGAAGGCUCUGCGUGAUUUUUUUAUACGAGGCCCGGGGUACGGUUGUCAUGAAAUGACACCUUCAAUGUACUUCAGAAAUUGCUGCCUAUGGAAAUGAACACACAGGAAGCCUUCUGAAGGAAACCGCUAUGGUGGUUGUCCUAUUAGUCAUAGAACUAUGGUUACAUAUAUUACCUUCCAUUUCAAAGGAAGUGAUUGGUAAUUACUUAAAAAUGUAAGAUAUUUCGAUCAAUAUCAACUGUUCUACCAUGAAAACACGUGAUUAAAUGUAUAAUCCGUAUCGAGGUUUUUAUUUUUGUACUGAUUGUAUAUAGCUGUGGUAUGAAACGGUUAAUGACUCAACAGUGACGCAUAAUUUAUGUUUUCGAGAAUUCCUCCCUGCAGAUUUGCAAAUGAGAGAAUCACAGAGUAAUGCUUUCAUGGAGCUCUGAACUGUAAAUAGCACAUAUUUUCGCAAUAACUGACAAGGUGCUAGGACUAUUCAUUGUGUCAUUAAAUAUCAGACAUUAAUUGCAGCCUUGAUUUCAAAUGGCUUGAUUUGCACUCAUUAAUUGACAUAUUACUACACGUUGUUGAAUAAUUAGCCAGCUUCUUAUAUUAUGAAUAUAGUUUACCGUGCUAACAAAGACGAGGGUGCAUUUGCAUGUCCUGCACACACGCUUCUUCAUUCAACAUUUCCCCCUAUAACAUAACAUAAUAUGACCUUCGCAUCAUUCUAUACUGUAUAGUCAUGUGUAUUUUCUUAUCGACCUUCUUGAAGAUUGUAACACAAGGACUUAAUGAAAAGAACUCAUAUUACGCAUCCGUGAGGCAUUCUGGCAGCUGACAACAGAAGAUAUAUGCUAUUACGUGUGUACAUAUACAAUUGGUUCCUGAAGUAGGCAGGCGUUCCUCUGUAAGAGGAAUUUGAAAUGUGUGUCUUGGGAGGCUAACCGUUUGUUUGCAGUUCUUCUACGACACAGGCUAGAGGUGCGAAAAGGGGCUUAGCCUGCUGAAAAACCAUUUUGCUCCCAAUCUGGCAGACCGGGCCACAGGUAAAUUGAGUGUAUCUCUAGAGAGUUGAAACAGGCUUGUCAAAUGUCAGUUCAGAGAUGUUCACGAAGCCAAAGACCAUGUGAGCACGACCACAUGCUGUGAUGCAUACUCUUUAGUGGAUAGCACAAUCUCUCUGAACAGCUCUGGAAGAAUUGUCAGGAGGAUGGGGAUCUGGGGUGCAGUUCUGAGAAUUAGUUAUCAUAUUGAUGCUUUGAGUGCUGACAUUUCCCAGCUUAAACUAUCUACGCAUGGCUAAGUAUACGUUCCAGAGAGUCUUCUUUCACCUUCAAAUUCAGGGAUCCUGCUAUUAAGUUGUUUGUUCAGAUAUAUAUGACAAAGCCGGGUUAAUCUAGCUGAAAUAUAACUUUUCACGUUUGCGGAUAGUGCAUCUGGAAGGUUGAAUUUAACAUCGCUAUCUCUUUAUUCUAAAUUAACACUGGUUUUCGCAAAGCAUCCCUGGAGUGUCCCCUGACUUAAUUGCCAUUCAGAGCACAGCAGCCACAUAAUAAUAUAUGCAGACUGUGGAAAUAUAUGUAUUUCAGUAGGCAAAGUGAUUACAAAGUACAUGACUAAAGACGUAAUCAGUAAUGUCGUUUUAAAACGACAUAAAACAUCUUAUUUGACUUCUGGACCAUUAACUUAACUGACCUUUUUAUGUAAAAUAAUCUUUAACGAGGAAAAUAUGUUAACGGCUGCCUCUUUUAUUAUAUAUAUAUUUAAAAAAAGGCAAACAUAAAGUGCUUAAGUAUACGCUUUAAAUGAAGGUUCACUUACUUAGCAUUAUUUAUUGCAGAUAGCAUUAAGAAACCGGUUAACCAAUUGAAACUACGGACAUAACUUUACCAUAAAUAACCUACACAUAACAUGAAUAAAAACGUUAAACUUCUGCUGAUGAAAUAAGUUUGCAUAAUAAUGAAUUAAUGAACGCUUUCAUUACACAAUGAUCAAUUAAUUAAGGACUAAUAUAAAUGAUGAAUCUAAAUGAAAUGGCACAGACAGUACCUCUGAUUGUAAGGUACAUCACAGGUUUAUGUUAAUGCUCUUGUGCGAAUACUGUAUUGUUUUUAGAUUAACAACACACAGAGUCUUGCUGGUUGGUCCACAUAAACAGAUAACAAUGUGUAACAGGAGAUAUUUAUUUAGCACUUUUGGAGGGACUCCAGUGUCCGUGCUUUGUAUUAGUAAAUCUGUAAUGUUAAGCUAAAGUCAGAGGUCGGUAGUAAUGCGUUCACUUUUUUAUCUGCUGAGUUGAGAGGGGGGAGAAGCGAGAGUGAGCUCUAAACACACACACACACACACACACACACACACACACACACACACACACACACUUUCUCUUCUGUUCUGUUCCUUAGUCUGUUCUUUUGUUCUCUGUUGUCUUGUUUAAAUGCAGAUGCUGCCAAGUUUGUGUUGUUAACAUGUGAAAAUAAA
ensembl:lncRNA